CACGACUCUGUCCGCUGUUGUUCCCCUGACCGGCCGUAAACACGCCCGUGACGCUGUCGCAAACGCGUCUGUUCAGUCAGUCCGGAAGUGAAGGGGGGAUUGUGACGGCCCCUCCCCCCCGCUGCCGCAAUGAAUUACUUAUCUUUCUGGCAGACCAAAAGGAGCCGUAUUUUAAACCCAAAGUCAAGUUGUCAGUAAAUCAGGGUGUCAUAACCAGUGUGGUUCCUGGAGAUUAUGAUGGUGAUUCACAA